rnacentral:rRNA from 1 species
UAAGCGAAUAGUGAAAGCGUGGGGCUCAACCUCAUAUCCAUUAUUUGAACUGCUAAGCUAGAAGAUGAGAGAGGUAGAUGGAAUUUCCAGUGUAGGAGUGAAAUCCGUAGAUAUUGGAAGGAACACCGAUGGCGUAGGCAGUCUACUGGCUCAUUCUUGACACUAAGGCACGAAAGCGUGGGAGCAAACGGGAUUAGAUACCCCGGUAGUCCACGCCGUAAAACUUGGAUGCUA